rnacentral:rRNA from 1 species
UACAGAGACUGCAAGCGUUAUUCGGAUUCACUGGGCGUAAAGGGUGCGCAGGCGGCCGUGUGUGUCAGGUGUGAAAGCCCGGAGCUUAACUCCGGAAUUGCGCCUGAAACUACAUGGCUAGAGCAUUGGAGAGGGUAGCGGAAUUCACGGUGUAGCAGUGAAAUGCGUAGAUAUCGUGAGGAACACCAGAGGCGAAGGCGGCUACCUGGACAAUUGCUGACGCUCAGGCACGAAAGCGUGGGGGAGCAAAAAGGG